rnacentral:rRNA from 1 species
UUAUAAAAGAAAUUAAUUAAUAAAAAAUUAAAUGUAAAUCAUUAAAUUUAAAUAAUUUGGCGGUAUUUUAAAUAGUUAGAGGAAUUUGUUGGUUAAAUGAUAAUCCACGAAUGGAAUAUCCUAGUUAAAAUUUUUAUGUAUUGUUGUAUUAAAAUUAUUUUAUAAGAAUAUAUAAUUAAAAUAUUAAAUAUAAUUUGAAUUCAAAUCAAAGUGUAGAAUUAGUAGGUUUAAAUGAAUUACAAUUUAAUUAUAAUAAUAGAGUUAUUUUUUUAAUUAAAAUAAUGAAAAAGGAUUUAAAAGUAAAUUUAAAAAAAUAUUUAAGUUGAAA